CCUACGGGAGGCAGCAGUGGGGAAUAUUGGACAAUGGGGGCAACCCUGAUCCAGCCAUGCCGCGUGUGUGAAGAAGGCCCUCGGGUUGUAAAGCACUUUCAGUGAGGAAGAACGCCUGGUGGUUAAUACCCAUCAGGAAAGACAUCACUCACAGAAGAAGCACCGGCUAACUCCGUGCCAGCAGCCGCGGUAAUACGGAGGGUGCGAGCGUUAAUCGGAAUUUCUGGGCGUAAAGCGCGCGUAGGUGGCUUGAUAAGCCGGUUGUGAAAGCCCCGGGCUCAACCUGGGAACGGCAUCCGGAACUGUCAAGCUAGAGUGCAGGAGAGGAAGGUAGAAUUCCCGGUGUAGCGGUGAAAUGCGUAGAGAUCGGGAGGAAUACCAGUGGCGAAGGCGGCCUUCUGGACUGACACUGACACUGAGGUGCGAAAGCGUGGGUAGCAAACAGGAUUAGAUACCCCUGUAGUC
rnacentral:rRNA from 1 species